AGCAGCCGCGGUAAUUCCAGCUCCAAUAGCGUAUAUUAAAGUUGUUGCAGUUAAAAAGCUCGUAGUUGAAUUUCGGGGCCAGUAGGUUGGUCGUGCCACUGGUAUGCACUGGUCUCACUGGUCCCUCCUUCUUGUAGAACCGUGAUGGCAUUAAUUUGUUGUUGCGGGGAAACAGGACUGUUACUUUGAAAAAAUUAGAGUGCUUAAAGCAGGCUCGCGCUUGAAUACAUUAGCAUGGAAUAACGGAAUAGGACGAUCGAACCUAUUUUGUUGGUUUCUAGGAUCGACGUAAUGAUUAAUAGGGAUAGUUGGGGGCAUUAGUAUUCAAUUGUCAGAGGUGAAAUUCUUGGAUUUAUUGAAGACUAACUACUGCGAAAGCAUUUGCCAAGGAUGUUUUCAUUAAUCAAGAACGAAAGUUAGGGGAUCGAAGACGAUCAGAUACCGUCGUAGUCUUAACCAUAAACUAUGCCGACUAGGGAUCGGAUGAAGUUAAUUUUUAAUGACUCAUUCGGCGCCUUAC
rnacentral:rRNA from 1 species